GUCUGUGGGCCGAUCGACCUGAAAUUUGGAAGAGAGGUUCAUGACUCAUUGAUCUUCAUUCUGAACGGUGGAGAUCGGAUUUGGAGAUCCAUAUGGUCGUCUUUCAGUCUAAGAACAGAGCCUCCAUUUUGAUGCAUUUUCUGUCUGGACAGUUUUGAUCAUGAACUCCGAUCAAGGUUAAUCCGUGGUUUGAUUGAGCCGAUUUUUGGAGAGCACGUUCAGAACUCAUUGGUCUUCAUUCUGAACGGUGGAGAUUGGAUUUGGAGUUCUGAAAAGUUAUAUUUUAGUCCGAGAACAGUGCUGGGCUUUCACACCACACAUGAACAACACCCAUCAAGAGGAACUCCCACCCCUACCCAGACUAAUCCAAGAUUGGAGAUAGGCGAGACGGAGAGAACGAGAGACAGCACUAGGGCAAAAUCCGAGGAGAGGAAUUAGGAGAGGGAGAAUGGCGUUGGUCUGGUUUGAAGCGACUCUUCCUCUGGAAUCAUUGCUGGAAUGAUCUGCAUCAUGGCCGAAGCACAUAUGUAACGGGGGGAUGUGACUAUACAGAGAAGGGACACGAAGCUGCCUCAUUAAAUUAGCCCUAAUCCCUGGUCAGCAACUAGGUGGACCAUUAUGGUGUUUGUCAUUUUAUGACAUCAAAAUAGCAGAAAAAUUGAAUUACAAAAUAGGGGAAGGAUACUUUGGCUGGUUGACUCCAUCAACUCUGAAAUUGACAUGGAUGGCAAAAAUUGUUAGCUUUUUAUUUCUUGGAUUGUCCGAUGCCGAAAAGGCUUUUUAAAAAAUAACCUGCCAUUGAGCAAGGGCAGGAUGUUGGUGCUUCUGGGUUUGAAGGAAGAGUAUUGAGCAUGCAAAUGGCUCGAAGAAAUUUGCUUGCUCUUGAAUCAUAAUUGUCUGCCAUUGCGCCCAAAACUGGCCUCUGAUGUAAUGACUUUGUGGGGAACUUGUUACUUUUUGUGCAUAUUGUCAACAAAUAAGCUUUUAGGAUCAAGGUGCAUUGGUUACAAGCUCCAAAAAAAUAGCAUUCUUGCUGCCUGGUCUUGACUUACACAUUGGGUCAAUGUGCUUUGAAUUAAUAUGGAAUUUGAAAUUUUAGCUUUGCAAAA